GACCGCGUAGCUCAGUUGGAAGAGCAUUGGGCUAGUAUUCCGAAGGUCAUAGGUUCGAAUCCCGCCGUGGCCA